GGUCAAGUCAUCAUGGCCCUUAUAGGUUGGGCUACACACGUGCUACAAUGGGAUGUACAGAGGGUUGCGAAAGCGUGAGCUGGAGCCAAACCCUUAAAGCAUUUCGUAGUCCGGAUUGGAGUCUGCAACUCGACUCCAUGAAGUCGGAAUCACUAGUAAUCGCGAAUCAGAAUGUCGCGGUGAAUACGUUCUCGGGCCUU
rnacentral:rRNA from 1 species